rnacentral:miRNA from 1 species
CGGACUCCGGUCAGCUGACACAUCCCUGCCAAUCUCCGGCAGACCCUCCCACCUCCUGGACAGCAUCCAUGUUGAAGACAGCUUCAACAUGGAUGCUGUCCAGGAGGUGGGAGGGUCUGCCAGAGAUUGGCAGGGAUGUGUCAGCUGACCGG